UACGUAGGGUGCAAGCGUUGUCCGGAAUUAUUGGGCGUAAAGAGCUCGUAGGCGGUUUGUCGCGUCUGCUGUGAAAACUCGGGGCUUAACCCCGGGUCUGCAUUCGAUACGGGCAGGCUAGAGUGUGGUAGGGGAGAUCGGAAUUCCUGGUGUAGCGGUGAAAUGCGCAGAUAUCAGGAGGAACACCGGUGGCGAAGGCGGAUCUCUGGGCCAUUACUGACGCUGAGGAGCGAAAGCGUGGGGAGCGAACAGG
rnacentral:rRNA from 1 species